rnacentral:rRNA from 1 species
UACGGGAGGCAGCAGUGGGGAAUAUUGCACAAUGGGCGAAAGCCUGAUGCAGCUAUGCCGCGUGUAUGAAGAAGGCCUUAGGGUUGUAAAGUACUUUCAUCGGGGAGGAAAAACAAAACUAAUAAUUUUAUUUCUUGACGUUACCCGAAAAAGAAGCACCGGCUAACUCCGUGCCAGCAGCCGCGGUAAUACGGAGGGUGCUAGCGUUAAUCAGAAUUACUGGGCGUAAAGAGCACGUAGGUGGUUUUUUUAAAGUCAGAUGUGAAAUCCCUGGGCUUAACCUAGGAACUGCAUUUUGAAACUGAAAUACUAGAGUAUCGUAGAGGGAGGUAGAAUUCUAGGUGUAGCGGUGAAAUGCGUAGAUAUCUGGAGGAAUACCUGUGGCGAAAGCGGCCUCCUAAACGAAUACUGACACUGAGGUGCGAAAGCGUGGGGAGCAAACGAGGAUUAGAUACCCGU